rnacentral:rRNA from 1 species
ACGAACGCUGGCGGCGUGCCUAAUACAUGCAAGUUGAGCGCUGAAGGUUGGUACUUGUCCCAACUGGAUGAGCAGCGAACGGGUGAGUAACGCGUGGGGAAUCUGCCUUUGAGCGGGGGACAACAUUUGGAAACGAAUGCUAAUACCGCAUAAAAACUUUAAACACAAGUUUUCAGUUUGAAAGAUGCAAUUGCAUCACUCAAAGAUGAUCCCGCGUUGUAUUAGCUAGUUGGUGAGGUAAAGGCUCACCAAGGCGAUGAUACAUAGCCGACCUGAGAGGGUGAUCGGCCACAUUGGGACUGAGACACGGCCCAAACUACUACGGGAGGCAGCAGUAGGGAAUCUUCGGCAAUGGACGAAAGUCUGACCGAGCAACGCCGCGUGAGUGAAGAAGGGUUUCGGAUCGUAAAACUCUGUUGGUAGAGAAGAACGUUGGUGAGAGUGGAAAGCUCAUCAAGUGACGGUAACUACCCAGAAAGGGACGGCUAACUACGUG